CUCUCCUCUAAAAGUGUCCACGUC
rnacentral:siRNA from 1 species